AGAUUGCACUAUUUGGACCUCACAAUUCAUUGUAAAGUUUAGUUUAAGAUAGGUUAAAGUUUUGGUUGAAAAAAAUAUAGUUUUGAUUUUGAGGUGGGUUUUAGUUUAAGGAAGAUUGCAGGUUAGGUUUAUGGUAGCUUAGCAUGAUAAAUUUAAACUUGGUACAAGUGUUCACAUUGACAUUUUGCGCUUAUAUUACCUAAGCUGUUUUUGGCAAAACCUUCCCAAUGUUGGGUCCUCAACACUCUUCUACUUUAUUCUUUAUUUGGCCUUUUUACUUUUUUUUAUUCAAGCAUAACUGAUGAGUCUUUGAAGACGAAACUUGUGUCUGGUGUAUAAAAUGUAAUUCCUGGUCUCUAUGAUG
rnacentral:lncRNA from 1 species